rnacentral:lncRNA from 1 species
UAAGCCCAGUUAGAAAUUAUUUUAAUCAAUUUUUUGGGUCGACACCCAACUACAAGUUGAAUUGCUAAAAUUAACCUGUCAUCCAACUUAAAGUUGCAUUGACCAAAACUUUGUAUGAUAUCAAAACUUUAACUGAAUGACACAUUGAAACCCAAUUAAUUGACACAAUGCUAAACAUGGCCUACCUUCGAAAAUUGAUUUUUGAAGUCCCAAAUAA